rnacentral:rRNA from 1 species
GCCAGACUCCUACGGGAGGCAGCAGUGGGGAAUAUUGCACAAUGGGGGGAACCCUGAUGCAGCGACGCCGCGUGGGUGAAGGAGCACCUCGGUGCGUAAAGCCCUAUCGGCAGGGAAGAAACAGACGGUACCUGACUAAGAAGCCCCGGCUAACUACGUGCCAGCAGCCGCGGUAAUACGUAGGGGGCGAGCGUUAUCCGGAAUUACUGGGUGUAAAGGGAGCGUAGACGGCGAAGUAAGCCUGAAGUGGAAGCCCGCGGCCCAACCGCGGAACUGCUUUGGGAACUGUUUUGCUGGAGUAUGGGAGGGGUAAGCGGAAUUCCUGGUGUAGCGGUGAAAUGCGUAGAUAUUAGGAGGAACACCAGUGGCGAAGGCGGCUUACUGGACAGUAACUGACGUUGAGGCUCGAAAGCGUGGGGAGCAAACAGGAUUAGAUACCCGAGUAGG